rnacentral:lncRNA from 1 species
GUUCCCUUCUUCCUCUAUGUGAAAAUGUUUGAACCCUUUCUUUUUGCAGCCUUUUAGCUUUUAUAAGGUUUGAAAUUUGCUUGGUGCCCAAGUGCUCUUCGCAAGGCAGACCAUUGUUGACGGUUGUAAUGUGCAUUUUAAUGUUUUUCUUUUUGAGCUUACCAUUUCCCUCCCCUUCUAGGAUUCUCUCCAUUUAUAAAAAUAAAACGAGAUUGCCAUUUAAAAAAAGAUCCACAAAAAAUAUAAAUCGUGGGUCCUACCGACUAGUGGGUCCCACCAUCAUUGAUUAUUUUUAAAUUUUAUUGUGUCUUUAUCUCUCUAAAUUAAAAAAAUGGG